UACGAAGGGGGCGAGCGUUGUUCGGAUUUACUGGGCGUAAAGGGCGCGCAGGCGGCUCAUUUUGUCAGGCGUGAAAGCCCCGGGCUUAACCUGGGAACUGCGUUUGAUACUGGCGUGCUUGAGGACUGGAGAGGAGACUGGAAUUCAUGGUGUAGCAGUGAAAUGCGUAGAGAUCAUGAGGAAGACCAGUGGCGAAGGCGGGUCUCUGGACAGUUCCUGACACUGAGGCACGAAGGCCAGGGGAGCAAACGGG
rnacentral:rRNA from 1 species